GUGAUACAGUUUAUGGUUCCUCUUAUAAACUCCUUGAGGGCUAGCACAUAGUAGGAGGUCAGAAAAUGAAAGCAUAGCCCAGUCUUUCCUCCCUGGAAUCUCAGAAUCUGGUUGGGGGAAUCGAGAAAUGAUAGGAUGUAAAAAACCGCAGCCAAACAACGGUGUGGCGUUCAUCCCUGCAACAGGCGGUAGCCAGUCAGAGGCAAUAUUCGGAGCCAGAAGUGCCCUUGGGGACCGACCCUCCCUUCUGGGGGCUGUGCAGACGGGGGCAACGCGGAGAAAAACCGCAAUCGGCAGAGCAGGUGGUUGAACCAACGUCUACCAUUAACUUGUGUGAGCCUCCGAAAUCACCGCAUCUUUCUCAGACAUUCAGUUCCCAAUCGACAUCGCGUUGGCUUUGGUGGUCAGAGAAGGCUCCAUCUUGAAGGUUGAGGAGGGUAGAAGGCUUCGUUCAAUGAGUGCAAGUACAGAGUUGGUGCAGAAGAGGAGCUCGGGAGAUUGCUGUCAUCCGGGACUACCGUCUGCACUGCCAUCGCGCCAGGUCGGACCGGCGCAAGGAGGCCAGAUGUCUCAGGACGAGAAGGAGUCGGGGUCGCCCACAGAGAAUCAAGACCAUGGGGAGCUUUCCGUGACUGCAGAGCCUGCAGAGCCCACAGAGCCUGCAGAGCCCGCUGAGCCCACCGAGGCCGCCGAACCCAAGGAGCCUGCUGGAGCCCCUUGAGCCCAAGUUGAGCCUCCGCCCCCGGCCCCGAGCCCAUCCACUGUGAUCUGCCCACCUCCUACCGUCCCUCCUCCUCCUCCCAUCCUGGUGUCGGUGGCGACAGCUUCCACCUGGUCCUUUCCCACCGAACCGGUGGCCCCCAGCGAGCCGGAAGCCAGCACCAGCGAGGAGGACCCUAAAGCGAGCUCCAGCCCAA
rnacentral:lncRNA from 1 species